rnacentral:lncRNA from 1 species
AUGUCAUUCUAGGGCGGAUUGAUGCAUUACUCACAGUACUACCUGAGUCCACAGAGACAAGGUAGCAACGUUCAGAGCUAAGGAUGGAUCAGAGGUAGUCCUUUAGUGGGACAGUGUCUAGUGGUGCCUAGAAGUUGAUAUCAGUCCCGCAGGCUCAUCGUUAUACAGGAAAAGUUGUCAGAGGGUUCUAACUCUUGUGAGCAAGUUUGUCAGGACAGGGAAUCAGCCUCAGUACCCUUUACUAGAGAGAGAGUUCUAGAUGUUUCCCAGAUGAUCUGUCGGGUUUACCAUCUGUUAGGGAAGUAGAGUUUGGAAUAAGAGUGGUAUCUGGACGCAGAAUCAUUUCUUUCCUUCUACCCUACAGGAUGGCACCUGCAGAGAAAGAGAGAGUUCAGAAGAGUCAGAAAAGUAUAAGAGAGCUUAGUNNN